rnacentral:rRNA from 1 species
GACGAACGCUGGCGGCGUGCUUAACACAUGCAAGUCGAACGAUGAAACCUAGCUUGCUAGGUCGAUUAGUGGCGAACGGGUGAGUAACACGUGACUAACCUGCCCCUUUCUCUGGGAUAACGCUCCGAAAGGAGUGCUAAUACCGGAUACUCACAUCGAGGCACAUGCCUUGAUGUGGAAAGUUUUUCGGAAAGGGAUGGAGUCGCGGCCUAUCAGCUUGUUGGUGAGGUAACGGCUCACCAAGGCGACGACGGGUAGCCGGCCUGAGAGGGCGACCGGCCACACUGGGACUGAGACAUGGCCCAGACUCCUACGGGAGGCAGCAGUGGGGAAUAUUGCACAAUGGGCGCAAGCCUGAUGCAGCGACGCCGCGUGAGGGAUGAAGGUCUUCGGAUUGUAAACCUCUUUCAGUAGGGACGAAGCGAAAGUGACGGUACCUAAAGAAGAAGCACCGGCUAACUACGUGCCAGCCGCCGCGGUAA